AGUGAACGCUGGCGGUAGGCCUAACACAUGCAAGUCGAACGGCAGCACAGAGGAGCUUGCUCCUUGGGUGGCGAGUGGCGGACGGGUGAGGAAUACAUCGGAAUCUACUCUGUCGUGGGGGAUAACGUAGGGAAACUUACGCUAAUACCGCAUACGACCUACGGGUGAAAGCAGGGGAUCUUCGGACCUUGCGCGAGUGAAUGAGCCGAUGUCGGAUUAGCUAGUUGGCGGGGUAAAGGCCCACCAAGGGGACGAUCCGUAGCUGGUCUGAGAGGAUGAUCAGCCACACUGGAACUGAGACACGGUCCAGACUCCUACGGGAGGCAGCAGUGGGGAAUAUUGGACAAUGAGCGCAAGCCUGAUCCAGCCAUACCGCGUGGGUGAAGAAGGCCUUCGGGUUGUAAAGCCCUUUUGUUGGGAAAGAAAUCCAUCUGGUUAAUACCCGGGUGGGAUGACGGUACCCAAAGAAUAAGCACCGGCUAANUUNGUGCCAGCCGCCGCCGUAA
rnacentral:rRNA from 1 species